GGACUCAAUAUUGUUUGUUUAUAAUAGGGGAAGUAAAUAGUGACGGUGGUCCUUGUCAUCACCCACUGAACUUGCGAAUGGUGUGAAUCUACGACCGAAAGAGAGAUUGAAGAUACGGAGAGUGGAUACCGGCCAGAAAUGGUAUAUGUAAAUUAGAAGAAAAAGAUGAUGGAGAAUGGAGAGUGACUACUUGUUGGGUCGAGUUUAUAUAUUGCGACAUACAGGACC
rnacentral:misc_RNA from 1 species